UUCCAGCAAAUCAAAAAAGAAAAUCUGGCUUGUUGAGCUCCGGUGCACAGUUUGCGCCUUUGUUGCCGCGCCAUUUCCCUGUCAUUUGUGUGCUCUCCUUCCGUUGCUGUUGCGUUUUAGUGGGUUAAGCUUGGAGAAGAAAUAUGCAAUAUCAAGACGUAUUUUGAUUUAUGCCAUGCCCAUAAGGAAGCCGGCCAUCUAACACUAUAUCUCAAAUGCCCGCCUCUACUAUCAGAUUAGAAAGGAGAAUGUUUAUUUUCCACCGGACGAUCUUUCUCUCGCUUAAACCGCGCGCUACGACUGUCACCCGUCCUGGUGGGGCCAGCCCACCUGCCCGGCCUUAUCUCUUCAUCUCGAGCGAGAACCAGUCAAAAUCCACCGAGCUCAAUCCCCUUUUCCAUGGCCUGCCCCGAAGCUGCACCUGCUGCUGCUCAAGGUCCUCCCGUCCAAGUCCCGUCUGCCAUGGCUUGUCCCCAAACUCCACCUGCUCCUGCUCAAGGUCUCCCGUCCAAGUCUUGUUCGCCAUGGCCUGCCCCCAAGCUCUACCACCUGCUGCUCAAGGCCCUCCCGUCCAAGCCCCGUUCGCCAUGGCCUGCGCCCAAGCUCCACCACCUGCUGCUCAAGGUCCACACGACGGCACCAUGACGAGGUGAUUUUUGUCGACGAGAGCAAGUGCUGCAAUGCAGCCUCGUCGUUGACUCAGAUGCUGCCGGUGCUGCGACCCGACAACUCGACAGUCCCGCCGGCGUCUGGUGUUGCGACCGACGACUCGAUGGUGCUGCAGGCGUUGCGAUGCGACGCUCGUCGUCGUCGGUGCUGCGCAGGCGCUCGCCGGUGGUGCAAGGCAGCACGCAUGGGAGGUUGGGCUGCUCGCUGCCAGUGUUGCGACGCAACACGGAGGCCAGAGUGCAGUCGAGCGCCGCUCGUCGCCGGUGAUGCAGCGCAACACGCGAGGGAGGAGGCCGAGCUACGCAUCGGUGCUGCAUUGGAGCAUUUUCCGCGCCGACGAAGUUGCAUUGGAGCUCCGCCCCAGGCCUGCAAUGGAGCGCCGCCGGAGUUGCACUGAAACCGCCGGAGGCGUCGUACGUGCCGCGUUUGAUGUUUUUUUGCGGCGCUCGGUAUUGCAACGGAGCAACAUCCCGGUGGCUCCUGGUGCUGUGUUGCAGCGGCAGUCUUGGAGCUGCGCUGUAGCAGGGGAGGCUAUGGGGACUCUGCCGAAUCUCUCGCCGGAGCUCACCGCCGUCAGGGUCUUUUCCGCGUGCCCGUGGUGGAAGCGAGCUGCAAGGGGAUUUCUCUGCUGUUUUGGUCGCGGGGCAAGGAGGACAAAGCAUCCGUCCGAUGUGUUGGCGUAUCCAACGGUUGAACGCGAGAAGACCAAAACAGAACGAGCGGCCAGCAAGCCGACUGAUGAUUUGUAGCAGCCGCCAUUGUUUUAAUCAAUGGUCUUUUGCGAAAUAGCAAUAGCUUUCGCCAAAUAGCUGCAGUCAGUCAAAUAUAAACAUGGAGUUGGAUAAGAGGCAAACAUGAAGUGAUCCGACGGCUGUAGUUACUGGGAUUCGCUCCAUCCAGUCGCCCGCCAAAACGAGGUGGACGGGAUUUUUCUGGACGGAUCGAGACACUGCACGGCUACCUGCACACCUUGCAUCCCAUCACGUGAUGGUGACUAGAAAUUUUCUCAUUCAAGAUCUUCUGUGGCUGGCUUUUGCAGUACCUAUCGUGUAAAGAUAGAUUUUUUUAUGAAGGAACAUAUAUCUUAUUUGCAGUU